CCCGGCAUGUCAAAGCUGAGAACCUGAGGUCCCAGUCACCCGGCAUGUCAAAGCUGAGAACCUGAGGUCCCAGUCACCCGGCAUGUCAAAGCUGAGAACCUGAGGUCCCAGUCACCCGGCAUGUCAAAGCUGAGAAACUGAGGUCCCAGUCCCCCGGCAUGCCAAAGCUGAGAACCUGAGGUCCCAGUCACCCGGCAUGCCAAAGCUAAGAAUCUGAGGUCCCAGUCACCCGGCAUGAGAAACUGAGGUCCCGGUCACCCGGCAUGCCAAAGCUGAGAAACUGAGGUUCCAGUCACCCGGCAUGACAAAGCUGAGAAACUGAGGUCCCAGUCACUCGGCACGAGAAACUGAGGUCCCAGUCACCCAGCAUGUCAAAGCUGAGAACCUGAGGUCCCAGUCACCCGGCAUGUCAAAGCUGAGAAACUGAGGUCCCAGUCACCCGGCACGAGAAACUGAGGUCCCGGUCACCCGGCAUGACAAAGCUGAGAAACUGAGGUCCCAGUCAC
ensembl:lncRNA